rnacentral:rRNA from 1 species
CACGUAGGGGGCGAGCGUUGUUCGGAAUUAUUGGGCGUAAAGGGCAUGUAGGCGGUUUUGUAAGCCUGGCGUGAAAUCCUGCAGCUUAACUGCGGAACUGCGCUGGGAACUGCGAGACUUGAAUCACUGAGGGGGAGAUAGAAUUCCAGGUGUAGGGGUGAAAUCUGUAGAUAUCUGGAAGAAUACCGGUGGCGAAGGCGAUCUCCUGGCAGAUGAUUGACGCUGAGGUGCGAAAGCGUGGGGAGCAAAC